UCCUGUGAUGAUAACCUGGAAUAGGAAGUGCCGUCCGAUGCGAUAACUGACGAGUUUGUUCUCAUUCAUUCUGAGA
ensembl:snoRNA small nucleolar RNA SNORD49